UAGGAAUCUUGCGCAAUGGACGAAAGUCUGACGCAGCAACUCCGCGUGCGGGAUGAAGGCCCUCGGGUCGUAAACCGCUUUCAGUAGGGAAGAACCAAGACGGUACCUACAGAAGAAGCACCGGCUAACUACGUGCCAGCAGCCGCGGUGAUACGUAGGGUGCAAGCGUUGUCCGGAUUGAUUGGGCGUAAAGGGCCCGUAGGCGGUUCGGCAAGUCGAUGGUGAAAUCUCAGGGCUCAACCCUGGGAGGUCUGUCGAUACUGCUGUGACUAGAGUUUGGUAGGGGAGCACGGAAUUCCAGGUGUAGCGGUGAAAUGCGCAGAUAUCUGGAGGAACACCAAUGGCGAAGGCAGUGCUCUGGGCCAAUACUGACGCUGAGGGGCGAAAGCGUGGGGAGCGAAC
rnacentral:rRNA from 1 species